UACGUAGGGAGCAAGCGUUGUCCGGAAUCAUUGGGCGUAAAGCGCGCGUAGGUGGCCCCAUAAGUCCGCUGUGAAAGUCAAAGGCUCAACCUUUGAAAGCCGGUGGAUACUGUGGGACUAGAGUACGGAAGAGGCGAGUGGAGUUCCUGGUGUAGCGGUGGAAUGCGCAGAUAUCAGGAGGAACACCAAUAGCGAAGGCAGCUCGCUGGGACGUUACUGACACUGAGGCGCGAAAGCGUGGGGAGCGAACAGG
rnacentral:rRNA from 1 species